rnacentral:rRNA from 1 species
ACUGAAGGAUAGCCCAGAGAAAUUUGGAUUAAUACUUCAUAAUAAUAUUUUUUGGCAUCAUGAAAUAAUUAAAACUCAGGUGGUUAUAGAUGAGCAUGCGUUCUAUUAGCUUGUUGGUGAGGUAAAAGCUCACCAAGGCAACGAUAGAUAGGGGGCCUGAAAGGGUGAUCCCCCACACUGGUACUGAGACACGGACCAGACUCCUACGGGAGGCAGCAGUGAGGAAUAUUGCACAAUGGAGGAAACUCUGAUGCAGCCAUGCCGCGUGCAGGAUGAAUGCCCUACGGGUUGUAAACUGCUUUUUUACAAGAAGAAACCUUGGUACGUGUACCAACUUGACGGUAUUUAAGAA